UGAGUAAUCUGCCCUUCUCAUCGGAAUAAGCGUUGGAAACGACGUCUAAUGCCGAAUACGACCUCCUUUCGCAUGAUCGGAGGUGGAAAGCUCCGGCGGAGAAGGAUGAGCUCGCGGCCUAUCAGCUAGUUGGUGGGGUAAUGGCCCACCAAGGCGACGACGGGUAGCCGGCCUGAGAGGGCGACCGGCCACACUGGGACUGAGACACGGCCCAGACUCCUACGAGAGGNAGCG
rnacentral:rRNA from 1 species